CCCCAACGUUACAGAGGAACUUCGGGUGACUGUCCAGGCACAGACGAACAUCAAAGAAUCCAUGAUACCUAGGGUCGCUGAUGGCUUGCUUCUUGAGCACACGGGAAAACCAGACACUGAGGUGUUUAGAGAGCAUGUCUUGGACUAUUUCCAACAUAUCAUCUCAUGGUGAGCUGAUAUCAUUUUACUCAGCUGCUUGUCUGUAAGCCCAUGGGGAGAUCUCCAUUUCUGUCACUUCUACAUAACAGUUCUUCACAGUCUACACCCUAUUUGAGAGAGGCUUGAGGUCCAUUCUCAAAGUCUUCUCUGGUGGAAAGUAAUAUCAGCAUGGAACAACUCAGAGAAAGUAGGAGAGUCACUCCAGAGGUCACACACAUUGAAAAUCCCUCCUACUUCCAUAUAAGAACCAAUGUUUCCUAAAGCCCCAAGCCAUAGAGGGACAAAUCUCCACAGGCAAUGACUUAAUAAGUUUAAGACCAAUCCAAGCUUUUGACAAAGUCAGAACCUGCUUAUCAUCUCCAGGAUCUAGCCUGAUGAUCUUCCUGACUCCCCACAAUCCAAUAGAUCUAAUCUGGGUGCCAUGGUGAUGGGGGAUGUCCUUCUGAAUAUAUGUUUCUCUUAUUGGUUGAUGAAUAAAACACUGAUUGGGCAGUAGG